ACUGCCCCUAGAGGCGUUGCCCCUAGUGGCUGUGUGUCAUAUGUGUGUCUGUAGGUGGCAGAGAGGAGGCUAUGUCUAUGCUCAGUGUUCUGACCUGAGACCAUCUGAAUGGUUAGUAGCCUUACAUU
ensembl:snoRNA